UGGGGAAUAUUGGACAAUGGGGGCAACCCUGAUCCAGCAAUGCCGCGUGUGUGAAGAAGGUCUUCGGAUUGUAAAGCACUUUCGACGGGGACGAUGAUGACGGUACCCGUAGAAGAAGCCCCGGCUAACUUCGUGCCAGCAGCCGCGGUAAUACGAAGGGGGCCUAGCGUUGCUCGGAAUGACUGGGCGUAAAGGGCGUGUAGGCGGUUUACACAGUCAGAUGUGAAAUCCC
rnacentral:rRNA from 1 species